CACGUAGGGUGCGAGCGUUGUCCGGAAUUAUUGGGCGUAAAGAGCUCGUAGGCGGUGUGUCGCGUCGGCCGUGAAAACCUGCAGCUUAACUGUGGGCUUGCGGUCGAUACGGGCAUCACUGGAGUUCGGCAGGGGAGACUGGAAUUCCUGGUGUAGCGGUGAAAUGCGCAGAUAUCAGGAGGGAACACCGGUGGCGAAGGCGGGUCUCUGGGCCGAUACUGACGCUGGAGACGGCGAA
rnacentral:rRNA from 1 species